rnacentral:tRNA from 1 species
GCCUGGGUGGCCCAGUUGGUUGAGCGUCUGACUUUGGCUCAGGGCAUGAUCUCACAGCUCUGUGAGUUCGAGCCCCACAUCGGGCU